rnacentral:lncRNA from 1 species
UAUUCUUUAAUUGGAAAAAUUCUUCAUGUCCACCAUUGUUCUAAUAUGAAAAAAGAGCAGCAUAACACUCAUACAUGCCCAGUCCUUCACUCAAAAGAACGUAACUCAGGUCUUGGACAGAUGAAGAAGCAAAAGGAGCAGCUGGUCUAUGGAUAGAAAGGGUGACAAUACCAUUGUUGAGGAACCGCUAUCAGUUACUAUAUUCUUCAACUCUUUGAUUUGUCUUAGAGUCAGUUCACUUGUCUGUCAGAAUUAUUGAGCUGGAAUUGUAGCCAAACUGCUUUAUGUCAGGGAAAUAUUAAUUUAUAAACCAAUUACAUGAAAAGUAAGAAGAAUAAUAAUAAUGAAAAGGAAGUGUAAGACACUUACAUUCCGUAUGUCAUUAAUUUUUUCCAGCUGUGAGAUCACAUUAAUAAUUCGAGCACUAAAUGGAGAAGGCAUCAUUAACAGAAUGGUGACUUUGAUCAUAAUUUUGCUGUUAAAGUAAAAAGAGCAUAAUCAAAUAAUAAAGUAGCAUAAACCAUAACACGUAGCAGUAAGCUAUUGAGAAGCAAUUCUAUUGUAUCACAUUAUCCAGUUGAUGAAUUACCACAUUCAAACCACUUGCGUAACUGACAUUGAGUACUUCUUCACCAAUGCGA